GUGGGCAGGCCGCUGGCAGCCUGAAGGCGUGCCUCUGGUGGGGCUGAGUUGGUAAACACCAGCAGGGGCAUUGACCAACUGUUGUGACUGUGAAUCUACUGCUCUUGGAGUUUUGUCAGCGAGGCGGCAGUGUGUGGCUGCUGCCUGCCAUCAGGUGCCUUGCACUGAGGUCAGACUGCAAAGGGAAGCUAAGGGUGCAGGCACUUAGUGACCUUUUUUGUCACUGAAGGAAUUUCUGCAGGGCCCGCUUAGAGCUGGGAAGGUGUCUUUUCCAUCCAGGCUCAGCCCACACUGUCAUAAUGAUCUCCUGAUAUUGGCACAGCCACCAUGAGCUCUGCGGUUUGUUAUUGUGCUGCUGUGACACCGAAAAACACCAACUCUGGAGAAGAAUGGCAACUUUUCUUCUGCCUUGAGAGACAAGAAUAUCUGGAGGGGUUUCUCUGGAGGACCUCAGGAAAGUGGCAACAGGGAGGCAGAUGUGUGCCUCAGCACUUCAGUUAUAUACAUGUGUUGAGUCCUUUGGAUGAGAAAAGACAACCAUGAGAUGUGGAAAGGGGAACAGUGAGCAAAAAUUACAAAGCUCCAGUAGCUGGGACUUAGUGCAAGAAGUUGGUAAUAACACCGUGGAUGAACCUGCCCUCUCAGCAAGGGGAUUGAUGUGAAUCACCAAGUCUGCAUCUCCCUGGGUCAUGAGUGUACAGCCCUGCAUGGAGGGACUCGUCUUACUCAACUUCAGAAACCUUUUUCCAUGCUAAUCAUCUUGGUUGUUUCAUAGUUCAGGAAAGUAACAGGUCUUGCAUGUAUGUAGCAGGCACUUGCCUCAUCUGUAUCUUCCCAUAGAGUCUUGUAGGUCUCCUUGCUGGUGCCACCUUAUCUGCAGUUUACUGGGGAUACUGCAACAGUGUGUUCUUCCCUCCCUCCUUUCGUUCUCCCAACUUCAUCCUUCAGCCUGGCUUUGCACACAAGGCCUCACACAGGACGACAGUGAGCAACAGUACUGAUAACACUCUUGCUAAAACAGAUUAACUGCCUCAAAUCUGUCUCAAACUGGGGGACUGAAAGAACUGAUAGCAGGCACCUGGUUCAGCAGCUGAGGGCCAUAUGAGCAUGUCCCUAAAAACAGAGUAUGAAUAUGAGUCAGCCACCUUACUCUGUAAAUAGGGAGCAGCAGAAGAGCCCCUUGAGCUCUGCUACAUAACAGCUAGCUGCACAACAGGAUUUCCUCUUGAGCCAUCUCUUGAGGUUACAUCUGUGCAGAGAUCCCUUACACCUUGACGUCAAGGUGCCUUGCCAGUACAAUUCUCGGUAAGUGACUAAUUGUUUUAAGCUUUGUUGGCUCUGCUAAGAUUAUAUCUUAGAUUGAUGCUAAGCUUUUUUUUAGCUUCACUGAGACAGUGUCUUGGAUUGUUUGUGCACAAAUGAUCAACAAAUGUUGACCAAGUUUGGGACUGGGAGUGGAUCCGGCCGCACCUAGGCCCCUUACUUUCAUGGUUCAAGGAGUUUAGAAUGCACUCUAAAUCUCAUGACUCAAUGGGAGGGUCUUCUGUAUGUGUGUGUUUAACCCUACCCUCUAUGCAGUAUAUCAUCAAGUGUAUCCAGCCCAGCCAUCUCAGAUCUUUUUCUGUAAUUGUUAAAUCACUAUGUUAUAUCUGUAUUAUAUCAAUAAAUAUAUUUCUGCUUCUCUCUUACGAGUGAAGUGUAUAAUGAAGUCAUUUCUAUCCAUGACAGACACCCACCCCCUAAAGGAUGCAGGAAGCUCCUUGGUCAUUGAAGCGUAGUCAGGAGCAAUUCAGAUUUGCAUCUCAAGACGUCAUUGUAAGUUGAUCCCUUGUGAAAUGCUUCCUGGAAAAGAUUCACAAGUUUCAGGGAGAAAUGUAGCACAAGAGAGAAGAUGACCCUGUCAGGAUAGUUAGGACACAGAUGGUCCAGGUUCUCCUUGUGGGUGCAGAAGACGUGGGGUCAAGAUUGAAGAUUUCAGCUGGGUCUCCCAUGCUUCCAAGCUUUUCCUUGAUUAGUCGAUUGGCUUCUCCUGCCUCCUUGACAUAAGCUGAGACAGCCUUUACUAACAUGAGCAGCUGGCCAGGUAGUUUGAUGGACAAUAACAAAUAGACCAAAUACAGAAACUUAAAGGGAAUUCAUACUACUAUUUUUGGUUCUUCUUUACUCACACAUUCUGAAUACAUUGAACAGGUGGAUGCCUGGGUUCUUUAUUCCUAAAAGCAAUUCAUGCAAUUGAUUAGGGUGUUACAAGUUUAUGAUAUCACUGGUUCAGCAUGCAUCUUUGCUAACUGUUUUUAAAAAUCUCACAGUUUAGUCAUUUAUAACUAAUCUUCUAUAUGUACACGUGUACUUAUAUGUGUGACAUACUCAGACACCUGCAUGCACACAGAUACUUCCUACAGUCAUUGUUAAUUUCCAAGGCUGGGACAUCCUGGGGUGAGGAACUUCAUAUGGAAUCUGCUUUGGUAUGUACUCUGUGCUAUUUCAUAGACUUCUAGAUUCUAUAUUAGUGCAUUAACCCUUUUUUGUCCAGAGUCUGAUAAUGGUAAGUCUUCAUUCUUAAUAGGCCUACUCUGUUGUCCAGGCUUUGGGCUAUUUAGAACUUACACCCUGCGUUAUUUCAUGAACACCUGCAGUCUCUUGGUACUCUCAAAGUGCAUUUUUGACUGCAGAAUUUACUAGAAUGGCAAAGCGAUUUUCUGCCCAGCUUUUUUUUUGUGUGAAAUUGGGUUGCUGUUCUUACUGAUAAUCUUGCUGUUGUUUUCGUCUUACCCUGUUUACUUAAUACUCCUUCUGUGGGCAGUUUCAUGCGCUAGCCUAGAUGAUGCAGGAAUUGUAAUGCAUCUGCUGAGGUGUGUUGUUACACCAGUUUAUGUGGCCAAGGAGAUGAAUUGAUUAUUGAACACUUAGGUCUCAUUUGAAAGAACGUUAUGGCAGGGCUGAGGAGUCACUGAACAGAUCCUGGGCUGAAAUUAAGGGAUGGAAGACUUUCCUGAUUCAUGAUCUCAUAAACAUCUACUGGGAAGGCAAGGUAAACCCAGAGGAAUGGCUUUUCAAGCCAUGGCUUGAAAAAAUUCACAACAAGAGUGGUUGUGAGGCUCAAAGUGUGGCUGAUUCAUGGAAUGGAGAAGGGGGAAUGAAGAAUAUCAGAAUACACACAUGGAGAUGGUUGCUUCAAGAACUGUACUGUAUUCAUAGAGAAACGCAAACAAAAAUGUUCCUUUAUGAAAGGAAUUAAAAAAUCCAAUGCUCCUUUUCUUGGAGCUUUGCAAUAGUGUAUCCUCACUGGUACUGCCUGCUGGACUUUGUCAAUAUAUAUGGUACAAUAUGAAUUUGUAUUUAUGCAAUGAACUCCAACCAUAUAGUGAAUAAGAGACGAGCAAGUCUAUGAAACAGGGUGGCUUUUGUUGCUCCUUCUGUGCUGGGAAUGGAUAGAGUUGUGGGCAAAAGUGUCCGGGGUUGUUUGACCAGGGAAAGAGCUCUCAUAUAGAGCUUGCAGAAAAAAAAUGUGACCUCAUGCCAAGAUCAGUGGGGCAGAAAUGCACCCCUGU
ensembl:lncRNA